UUGUCGAGACCGAUCUCCGACUCACCUUCAACUCCAUUUCCAUUUUUGCUCUUGAAUUUCGCCAUCACACUGAGCUCGUUAACCGCAUCACCAAUCUGUUCCACGCUAGAAACCAUAUCGAUCAUCACCUCGGCAAUAGACUGAGAAGAGCUCUGGAAAGUUGAAAGACGGAGAAAAAAGAGGAGAAAACCAUCAGUUUGACAGGUAAAGUUACCAGAGAAUUAAAGAAGAAUAUUUGUGUAGUGAGGAGAUAUAUGCUGGUGAACCUGAUUCCUGCUUGGUCUAUAUUUUGCCAUGCUGAAUUGCUAAUAAACAGAAAAAUUCUUGCAUAAUGUGAAGUGUUUGAAAUGA